rnacentral:rRNA from 1 species
UACGUAGGGGGCAAGCGUUGUCCGGAUUUACUGGGCGUAAAGAGCGUGUAGGCGGCUGGGUAGGUCCGUUGUGAAAACUCGAGGCUCAACCUCGAGACGCCGAUGGAAACCCUCCAGCUAGAGUCCGGAAGAGGAGAGUGGAAUUCCUGGUGUAGCGGUGAAAUGCGCAGAUAUCAGGAAGAACACCCGUGGCGAAGGCGGCUCUCUGGUACGUGACUGACGCUGAGACGCGAAAGCGUGGGGAGCGAACAGG